GACGAACGCUGGCGGCGUGCUUAACACAUGCAAGUCGAACGAAGAGCGAUGGAAGCUUGCUUCUAUCAAUCUUAGUGGCGAACGGGUGAGUAACGCGUAAUCAACCUGCCCUUCAGAGGGGGACAACAGUUGGAAACGACUGCUAAUACCGCAUACGAUCUAAUCUCGGCAUCGAGGAUAGAUGAAAGGUGGCCUCUACAUGUAAGCUAUCACUGAAGGAGGGGAUUGCGUCUGAUUAGCUAGUUGGAGGGGUAACGGCCCACCAAGGCGAUGAUCAGUAGCCGGUCUGAGAGGAUGAACGGCCACAUUGGGACUGAGACACGGCCCAGACUCCUACGGGAGGCAGCAGUGGGGAAUCUUCCGCAAUGGACGAAAGUCUGACGGAGCAACGCCGCGUGAGUGAUGACCGGCUUCGGGUUGUAAAGCUCUGUUAAUCGGGACGAAA
rnacentral:rRNA from 1 species